UACGGAGGAUGCGAGCGUUAUCCGGAUUUAUUGGGUUUAAAGGGUGCGCAGGCGGUCUGUUAAGUCAGCGGUCAAAGCCCGGGGCUCAACCCCGGCGAGCCGUUGAAACUGCCGUGCUAGAGAGGAAGAGAAGUAUGCGGAAUGCGUGGUGUAGCGGUGAAAUGCAUAGAUAUCACGCAGAACUCCGAUUGCGAAGGCAGCGUACCGGCUCCACACUGACGCUGAGGCACGAAAGCGUGGGUAUCGAACAGG
rnacentral:rRNA from 1 species